rnacentral:rRNA from 1 species
GGGGUGCUCGAGUGGCGAACGGGUGAGUAACACGUGAGUAACCUGCCCUUGACUUUGGGAUAACUUCAGGAAACUGGGGCUAAUACCGGAUAGGAGCUCCUGCUGCAUGGUGGGGGUUGGAAAGUUUCGGCGGUUGGGGAUGGACUCGCGGCUUAUCAGCUUGUUGGUGGGGUAGUGGCUUACCAAGGCUUUGACGGGUAGCCGGCCUGAGAGGGUGUACGGCCACAUUGGGACUGAGAUACGGCCCAG